GACGAACGCUGGCGGCGUGCUUAACACAUGCAAGUCGAACGGAAAGGCCCUGCUUUUGUGGGGUGCUCGAGUGGCGAACGGGUGAGUAACACGUGAGUAACCUGCCCUUGACUUUGGGAUAACUUCAGGAAACUGGGGCUAAUACCGGAUAGGAGCUCCUGAUGCAUGGUGGGGGUUGGAAAGUUUCGGCGGUUGGGGAUGGACUCGCGGCUUAUCAGCUUGUUGGUGGGGUAGUGGCUUACCAAGGCUUUGACGGGUAGCCGGCCUGAGAGGGUGACCGGCCACAUUGGGACUGAGAUACGGCCCAGACUCCUACGGGAGGCAGCAGUGGGGAAUAUUGCACAAUGGGCGGAAGCCUGAUGCAGCAACGCCGCGUGCGGGAUGACGGCCUUCGGGUUGUAAACCGCUUUCGCCUGUGACGAAGCGUGAGUGACGGUAAUGGGUAAAGAAGCACCGGCUAACUACGUG
rnacentral:rRNA from 1 species